CCUUUGCCCGGCCCUUUGUCCGGCCCGUGCCCAUGGAAACCCGGCGGGGCCCGGCGGAAAGGGCCGGACGGCGGCACAAAGGAGCGCGGCGGGGGCGGGACGGGGCACGGCCGGGCCUGCAGCCGCGGCGAGCUCCGCGGGCCCGUCCUGCUCCGGGAGCGCCGGGAACACCGGGGAACUACGCCGGGAUAAGCGAGAACACCGGGGAACAAUCCAGGGAAACAGCACCGGGAAACAGCACCGGGAACAGCGGGGAAACAACCCCAGGGACACCGGGAAACACCGGAGAACAUCGGGAAAACCGGGAAACAACCCCGGGGAACACCGAGAAGCACCGAGGAACACCGGGAACACCGUGAACUAAGUCCAGAGAACACCGGGAAGACCGGGGAACACCGGGAAGCAAGCCCGGGGAACACCGAGCACACCGUGGAACACCGAGCACACCGGGGAACACGGAGCACACCGGGGAACACCGAGCGCACCGGGGAACACGGAGCACACCGGGGAACACGGAGCACACCGUGGAACACCGAGCACACCGUGGAACACCGAGCACACCGGGGAACACGGAGCACACCGGGGAACACGGAGCACACCGUGGAACACCGAGCACACCGGGGAACACGGAGCACACCGGGGAACACGGAGCACACCGGGGAACACGGAGCACACCGGGCGCACCGUGAGCCGAGCGCGGGGAGCAGCGAGCGGCCCUCAGCGUGAGGCGCGGCCUGCGCGGGACGGGGCGUGAGGGGACGGAGGAGCCGCCCGGGCGAGGGGAUUCCGUGAGGAGGAUGCUGUGAUGAUGCUGAGGGAGAUGCAGCGACGAGCUCUGCUCCAGGAUUUAGCUCUGCCCAGAGCGCCGGGGAUGCUGCGGCAAGGUUGCCAGAGAGGCGGAUACCAGCCUGCAUCCAGGUUUUUGCUGCAUCCCUGCUGCCGAGCGAGAUAUGGAUCAUCCCUGGGAUUAUUGCUGCCUGGCCCUGGCAGGGAGGGGGCUCUGGAGGUGCUGCCGUGCCGGGGAGGUGCCGGUUCUGCCGGACCCUGCGGCGCUGUGGAUUUUUCAGUUCUGGAGCCGACGCUCCCCUCACGGUGAGGUCUCUGUGGCGCAAUGGACGAGCGCGCUGGACUUCUAAUCCAGAGGUUCCGGGUUCGAGUCCCGGCAGAGAUGAUCUCCAGGCAGGUGUCUCUUUUCUUUUAGUGCCAUUUCCCUCCCAGGUCCCCAUCCGUAACGUUUAUAAUGCCCCCCGAGGGUUUGCGUGGGGAGGGAAUGACUUUUCCUGGCAUGGCUGAUGGAUGUGGCAUCCCUGUGCUCCCUUCUUGAGGCAUUUCUCCUCCAUCAUCUCCCCCUUCCCUCGUUCCCUUUGGUAUCUCCUCCAAGCAGGUGUUUUAACCCCACACGUCCCCCCCAGUACUGUCCCAUUUUUGAUACCUGCUUCCUAAGGAGUGUUCUGUGCUUUCCAGUAGGGCCCAGCUGGAGGGAAGCGGGUCAGAGCCGUCCGGUGGCGUUUCCUGUGAUAAAUGGGGUAAUUUUUUCACAUGUGUGGCCAAAGAAAUGUAAAUCUCUGAUCUGAAUGUCCACCUUGGUAAAUUUGGGGAACUCAGUGCUCCCUGCCUGGACCUUUGUACUCUGAAAUGGUUUUAAACUGCCAGAGGGCAGGAUUAGAUGGGAUAUUGGGAAGAAAUUGUUCCUUGUGAGGGUGGGGAGGCCCUGGCACAGAUUAUUCCAUGGAUGUCCCAUGCCUGGAAGUGUCCAAAGCCAGGUUGGAUGGGGCUUGGGAUAGUGGAAGUUGACCCUGCCACGGUAGGGUUGGGGCUGGACAGGUUUUAAGGUCCCUCCCAACUCAAACCAUUCCAUGACUCCACACUCUCUGCACACUUGCCAAUCCCAGGAUGCUCUCCCAUUGACUGGAUUUCUGGUCUCCAGUGGAAAACCAGUCCAUCUCCAUCUCUGGGUUUGGCUUGUUUGUUUUUCCCUUUGUGGUAUCUGUGCAAAUGCUGGAGCUCUGCCUGUUUGGAAAACCAGGCCCUGGUGGUGCUGGAAGUUCUGCCCCCGUGUUCAUCCUGGCAAAAUUGUCAUUUCCAUCACAUCCAGGGGAAAAAGGCCAGAAGAUUAUUCUGAAAAAGAAAAAACAUGUUGGCAGUGGGUGGACACACCCAAAGGAAAAUUUGGUAGGAAUGGGGGGAGAAAGGGCAGAUUCUGCAAAAAUCACUCCUGCCAUCAGCAAAUGGAGAAUGAAAGUUCUUCAUUUGUGUUUUGGGACAGAGGCAGCAAUAAAACUGUGAUUCCAGCUCAGCUGUGGUUCCUCUGGGGGAGGGUUGGAGCUCUUCUUCCCUGAACAUGAGUGUGGAGGAGCUCAGGAGCAGAUCCUUGGUGUUACCAGGUGUGUUCUCCUCCUGCUGCUGCUGUGUCUGGGAACCCCAGAGUGCCACAACCUUCAGGUUCAGGUAGCCCUCAGCUUCAGGGACACCUCGUGCCAGGGCAGGAGACCCCUGUCACCCCCCAAAUUCAGGCACCAGAGUUGUCACUGCUUGUGUGGGACGAGCUCUGUUCAUCACCUCACCUGUGUGAGGAGGACACAGAGCUCCCAGUUUCUCUCAGAUGCACUCUUGGUCUCCCUUGGCUUCUUUUGCAGAAGGUCCUGCAGCUCCUUUUUGGCUUUUCCAGAACUUCCAUGGGUUCCAUAAUCUUCCCAACCCUUCAGCUCUCCUCUUAUCUCACCAGGUCGCCCUCAGGUGUGCUGCCCACGAGGUGAGGAGGUGUGAGGAUUCCUGUCCUCCCUGCAGGAAGAGAAAUUCUCAUUUGGAAAGGGAAAAAAAAAAUCUGCCAAAUCUGCUGGGGAAGGUGAGGAAAAUUGAGGAAUUAGUGCCAUUCCCUGCAGGAUACAAACACUGAGUUACACCUGAGUUACACCGGAGUUACACUGUCCUGUCACUGCUGCAAGAUGUUGUUCCCAGUGAGGGAACUCCUCCUGGGUUUUUGGCAAUGACCCCGUGUGUAAACACAGCUCAAAAGCAGUUCCCUGCUAAUUAUGCCACCCUCCCCAUCAGAAUCAUGAAGACUUUGCUUUCCACCCCAGAAUUGUCCAGAUUCCCAACAAAAAGGAUGUUUGGGAUGCCCUACACUGAAGAGGGAGCUUGCAUGGAAUCUCAUAUUUAUCCCUCCAGACCUCAGGUAGCAUCAAGUUCCCAGGAAUAAAUCCCUGUCUGGAGGGGCAGGGAAUUUGUCUCUGAGAUUCCCCAAACCCUACCCUGUGGGGCCAACCAAAACUCUGGAAUGAUCCCAUGGCAACCCUAGAACUGACAGAAAUGGUGGAAUGCUCCCCUGGAAAUCCUAGAACCAACAAAAAGGGUGGAAUGCCCCCCUGGCAACUCCAGAACUGGCAAAAAUGGUGGAAUUCUACCAUGGCAACCCUAGAUUUUUUUUUUUUUUUUUAAUGGGGAAAUGCUCCCCCUAGCAACCCCAGAACAGCAGAAGCAGUGGAAUGAUCCCAUGGCAAGCCUAGAAUUGGCAAAAACGGUGGAAUGUUCCUCUGGCAACCCCAGAACUGGCAAAAAUGGUGGAAUGCUCCCCUGGCAAUCCUAAACCCAACAAAAACAAUGGAAUGCUUGUUUGACAAGCCUAGAACCAAGAAAAACUCUGGAAUGUUCCACUGCCAUCCCUAAAAUCAACCGAAAUGCCGGAAUGCUCCCCUGGAAUCUCCUUUGCCAUGAGCUCUGGACUGUUCCUCCUGCCCCAUGGGGAGUAAAACCCAGCAGGUUGGACACCUCUGCUUUCCCCUCGUUCACCAUCCACACCAAACAAGGCCAGGGAGGUGACAGGAGGGGACAGUUUGUGAUUUUUAACCCUCGUGGCUUUCCAGAGCCACCCUGGACCCAGCACGGAUCAGGGUGGAGGAAGAGUUGGGCUCCCCCAGGAGCUCCCAGGGUUUGGGGUUCAGGUUUAUCUCUAAAUAAAUUCAUCACUUCUGGCCCAUU